rnacentral:rRNA from 1 species
UACGAGGGGGCAAGCGUUGUUCGGAAUUAUUGGGCGUAAAGGGUGCGUAGGCGGUUUUGUAAGUCUUGUGUGAAAUCUUCAGGCUCAACUUGAAGACUGCACGAGAAACUGCAGGGCUUGAGUGUGGGGAGAGGUGAGUGGAAUUCCUGGUGUAGCGGUGAAAUGCGUAGAUAUCAGGAGGAACACCUGUGGCGAAAGCGGCUCACUGGACCACAACUGACGCUGAUGCACGAAAGCUAGGGGAGCAAACAGG